UUUUUCUUGAAUUCGUUUCAAGCAUAAGAUAAAUUUUCAGAAGAAAAACUCGCGUAAAAUAAACGAGAGGGAUGCCUAAAGUCUUGGUUUACUGGUAUAACGAAAGCGAGGAUCUAAAUAUUGGUUGAAACGCAGAGGCCUCCAUCAAGUCCGAAAAUUCCGCGGUAAAAUUGUUUCGGUGUUCGUAAACUUUGAAAAGCUUACAUCAAGCCACAAUGGCCAGGUUGACUUAGGACCGACGAAGCUGCUCGAACGUGUCGAAAUCGGCUGCCAAUGUAAACUGCACGUUUACGACACUCGAUAAAGCUUUCUAACACGUCGUUGAUUUCGCGAGGGAAAAUAAAUAUGGACACCAUUCGAGUUUAAUCGGACUUGUCCACUUCCGGAAGAAAGUUUUACGGAUCUAAAGAUGGACAUUGUCUACACGAAUCUUAAUAGAAAAGAUUCAUGGAAGAAUUAGAAAGAAUUAAUAAAAUUUCGUGAAACAGAUAUUAAUUCUCCAACGAAAUCUUUUAUAUAACAAAAUACUUGUAAAUAUAAAAUAUGUAUAAUUCUUCGAGUUCAAAGUUAAAUAGAAGUUCGAUAUAAAUGAAGACUUUUUUUAAGAAUUUUCCAAUAAAAUAAAAUUAUACUUUGAACUGUCUGUACCAUUCAGUGAAAACGAAAUGGUGCAACAAAGUUAUUUACGGUCUAUGGUUUCUCCUCUGAAUCCUCGUUUCUCUUCUCUUUAUACCAAACAGUCUCGAGACCUCUGGAAGUUAUUCCACGUUUCCUUAUCGUAUGAAACGUUCGAGAAAUCAAGGAGAAAAAUGGUCCAACGGUUUUCAACGGCAAUUCCCUCACAAUUCCUCUAACUUCGCAACCUUUCCCUCCCAUUUUCUAUCCUUGAGUUUCCUUUUUCCCCACUUUCUCGCCUUUUCCUUUCUUCUCCUCUCGACGAUUCGUUUUCUAUCGUGAAAAGAGCAGAUACGAUGUUAGAAAAAGUCGUGCAUUCAGAGCAUAAUGCUCGUUAUCGAACGACAAUGAUAUUAUACGUGAAUCGUUUAGCAGCUCUUUUCCAAAGUUAAUAACGAAAAAAAAAUGGGGAAAAUAUUGAUUUUCCUCACAGAAAGAUUGUAAGGUAAAAUAUAUGUAAUAAAAAUAUCGAGACAUUCUGAAUCGUUCAUGGAAAUCGUACGAAUGAAUCCUACGCAUGAAGAUGAAAAUACGAAAAUAAAAAUAUAUCCAAUUUCAUGUGAUAAUAGAAUAAACGUUCGAAACGAAUCGAACACUAUAUGCACGAAGAAAACAUAAUUAUAUCAGCUGAAAGAAAUAUACAGCUUAAUUUCACGGUAUAUCGUAUAUCUAUUAUAUAUCUACAAUAAAUGGAUUAGAAUCGCAUCAAUUUUUAUUCACAUCAUAGAUAUAUCACUCGUAAAUAAUUCUUAUCCAAGAUUGAUGUCGUAUUUGUUACGCUCACAACCUAUAUAAUUUUAUGCGAUAAAUUAUUAUUCAUUACAGUAACACGUGAUAUCUCUGAAUACAUGUAUGACUAAACUCAUUAUCUUUCGACAUCACAAUCAAAAUUAAAAUUCACAUAUGCAUAAGAAUCACAUUGUUCUGAUUCUUUAUUACCAUUAGCAUUAUUAAUUGAGUCCAAUAAUUAUGUACUUUUCAAUCGUCUUUUCUCACUCAAAGUCUCUCUUAUAUAACUUAUCUUGAAUUUACAAUUCUAACUCGUACAUUGGUGUCAACUAUUCGAGGCUAAUAAAGAGAACGAAAAUUGUCGAACCCUUUUUUUUUCUUUUUUUUUAAUACUAUUUAAUACUAAAAGAUUUUUAAAUAAUAGUAGAAUAGUGGUUGCCGAUGACCAUUAUAAUAGAAUCGAAAAACUUAAAUAUAAUUCUUAAAAAUAGAAUAUAUUCGAAAUAUGACAAGUCGUAAUAUUACGAUUUCUUUGUGACUCACCGUAUCUAGAUUGAAUAGGCUCGAGACCUUUUUCAGGAAUCCGUCCUGCGACUUCUUCUUUCUCCUGGUGGUCAUCCUCCUCGAAUCAAAUCGAUCUCCGUUCGAUGUAAAUUAAUCCAAUUAAUCCGAACGCUUCAGAUAACGCUGAGCCACAUACUUUUCCCGUGGAAACCACACUUCACCGAAACAGGAAGCAAAGUUCGCGAUAAAAUUGAUUUCCGUUUUAUAAAUUGGUUCGUACAGAAGGAAUUGUGGCAAAAUUCGAUCGAUUCCUUUAAUUAAUAUACUAGAAAAUUUUUCAUAAAAAAUGCUCGAUAAUAAUUAAACGGAUUAAUUAUCACGUUAUCAUGUAUUAUCGCGCUAUAUAUUAAACUGGUUUAAAUAUAAUCACAUGAUGAGUAAUUACAAUAUCGUAUUUUUUCUUGUAGAUUUUGCUCGAGAGUUUAACGUACUGGUGCAACGUGAAAGUGUCUCGACCGCUUGAAAACUCAAUCUAAUGAGGAAACACGAGAACCGUUGCAUAGACCAGUAAUUUUAUAUGCGUCAAAUACAUCAUAGAUUCGAAGUCGCGAUUACGGUGACACGGAGUCGUAUUAUACUUCCCUAGCGGCCUAUUUCUUGCGGGCCCGUGCCGCAUUUAUAUCUCACGCAAGUGCAACCUAAUUGAUAAAAGCCAGGGACGUCGGCCCGUCCUACUUAGGUCGGUUAACCCGAAUCGCUUGGCAAAUAACGCGGGAAAUUAUUUGAUCGUCGUCACGUGCUGUUAGUGGACAUUAUGUAAUGAAUAAUCAGUGGUGAUGAUGAAUCGUUGCGUAUAUAUAUACACAUAAGGUGUGUAAACUCAUAUAAUUUUUUAUAUGAAGUAGAAAAAUAUUCGAAAAGGAAUUACAAUUAUAAUUUUUAUAUUUCAAUGAAAAUAUUGUUGAAAAUAUUUCGAAGAAUUUCGACGAGAAAACAAUUUAAUCAUUUGAAUCGCGGCGCCAUCUACUUCGAAAUUGAUUGCUAUCGAUUUUUCAUAUUCAUGAAACGAUAAAAAAAAAAAAAAUAAACGUUGCGAUUAUUUCCAAGGUAAAGUUUAUAAAAUGAUAUACAGUCACGCUAUCAUGUAGACCGAAAAUUUAAAUACGAGCAAAGGUUAGUAGAUGUUCUGUAAAGAGAAUGCAUUCUCUGAUUCGACCGGUGAACUCCUGGACGAUCGAUCAGUGAAAGUAUGGGAGUACAAAGUGGCACACGAACCUUGUUUGACUUGAUAUCUGUCGAUAUACGUGCACGUAUUUUUCUGAACAUAAGGUAAAAACCAAUUCUACGCUCCCACGAAAACUAUGUAUAAGCUUCCCUCUUUACGUAGUCGUGUACACACUUGUGUACUACGUAUGUGUAUACACGAGUACGCUUAUAUCGUAAACAGGUUGUCCGUCCGUCUCACUCUAGUGCGCGCUAAGCGUACUCCUGUGCAGCGUACUGUGACGAAUGACGACGCGGAUAAGGAAACCCACGAUUGUGAACCUUUGAUUUCCACGUGGACAUACGCUUCACGCACACGUUAUCAAUCAUUAUGCGUUCGUAUUAUUUCGAUAAAAAAGAAAAUCUUAAAUUAUCUAACGUAAACGCUUCGUCCGUGAAAAUAAAACAAUAAAAUGUCAAAUAUACUUUAAAGAAAUGAAAUACAUAGUACUGUUAUAUCUCGCGUAUAUCCUUCAUACAUUCCGCGUAUAUAUCGCGUAUAACCUAUUCAUAACUUAACGGAGAAGAACCGUUGUAAUGUAAACUUUUUAAUUUGUUUCCGAAAAUAUUUGAAUUAUGUUUGUUUGUUAUUAUGUGAAAAACAAUGUGCAUUAAAAAUAAGAAAACUUCCGAGUUUCUAAUUGCCACGUAUUCCUUCUGUAUUGCCCGCCAAAAAAAAAUAUAAAGAAGACUUCCUAUUUAGGUGCGCAAACGUCACUUUACCUCUGAAGGAAGAUCACUGAUUCACACGUAACACAUUUAGAUGAUAACGAGCAGACUUAUUUGUAUACACCAACACUACACUUUUAUCCAACGCUAGUUGAAAAUCACCAUGUACUAGACGCCCCUGCACGCACGAUUCUCGCAUUCCAUGAGAAACACGAACACGCUCACACAGAUACGAAACAGGUUGCUUCUCGUUCAUCCGUCUCACUUCAGAACGAAUUUCUACCGCCAAUCGGGCCACGAUAUUUUCUCAAGGCAACACGUAGAACGAAAGAAACAAAGGAUGAGUUUGAACGCGAAUGUCAAUAUGUACACGACAGUUUUUCAACCAUACAAACAAAUCGCAUUUUUCGUACAUAUAGAUAACUUGGUAUCCACCUCUUCUCUUUAUUUAUCCGCACCAUCGGCUUCGCUCCGUUUUCGUUCGUGCUCUUUUCGUAUGUUAGAACCGGUGGCGCGUCAGAGGUUAGAAACUACAUUCGAAUAAAGUCGGCUUCAUUGUCAAACGAUGGGCACCAGAUAUCUCGGUGUUCUUUGUACGAAUUGGUUUCCGCAAUAAUUUAUACAGCUUUGCGUGACACGAUUAUACGGCUGUGCUACAAUGCCGAUUAAAAUCAGUGAUACACCGGUUGGGAGGUUAGGUCGCCACAGACGCCUCCUCCACCUCUCGACCGCUUUCUCUCUCUCGCUCUUCGAUUACAAUUGCUCUCACAGAAGAAACGGCGUCGUAGCAAACAAACUUUUUCCCGCCACGUGAUAUGCACUCAACACUCACAAUAUCUAUCGAACACAACCGGAUAAAGAUGGAACAACCGACCGAAAAUAAUACGAGCGUGUACGCAAAGAAGUGAAACGUCAAGAGCUCUCGUACGCUUUACCGAGCUGGCCGUGGACGGGCCUCUUUGCCUGCUGACGUCAUCGCUCGGCCGCCGGCAUGAACUUCGCAGCACGCACGGAGAGUGCCGAGCCGAACAUCACCGGAUCUGCACGAACCUGCACGAUCGUCCUCGCGAGAAUUGUGCUGGGCGUUAUCCAAAUAAACUUUUAUUUCAAUUAUUGUUUAACCUAUAUGAAAUAGUCUUCUUUCAUAAUCUCAAUUUAUUUUACUAACAUAUAUUUUAAAUUUAUAAAUAUGAUAUAAAAACUUGUUAAACGCAAUAACAAAAAUUUAAUUAUAAAAUUCUGUUAUCGUUGAUUUUUAAUUAUCUUUAAUGGAAAUUCAUUUGAAGCAGGUAUUUCAUUUUAAUAAAAUAAUAUUUUUUUAUACUAUUUAUAUAUUAUUUAAAUAUAAUAUUAAAUAAAUCAAUAACUAUUUUUCUAAACGAUAUAUUCUUUCAGAAACAAGAUUUGGAAUUAGUAAAUUUUUAUUAACAAUUUUUUAUUAUAAAUUUUUAUUGAUAAUGUAUAAAUUGUUAUUUUUAUAUUAAUUGAUGUCUCGUAAUUUUUUAUUCAUUAUUUUGAACAAAAAGUUUGGCCAAUUGGUACACGAAAGUACUCGCAUUCUCUACCGCGUGCCUCUCAUUCUCCUUCUCGUUUCCUCUUAUAUCUCGCUUUCUCUCGAACAAAACAUACUAACCAUAUAAAAGACGUUCGUUUCUUCGACGACCGCCGCACCGCACUAUGUCAGGUCGAACGCGCGAGGUUGCGUAGCAUUUUUGAGGUUGGGGGAAGUUCAGGUAGAUAAUAAAAAGAUACCGUUUUAGAGUUUUAUGGAUUGUAAAGUCUUAAAAUUCCAAACCGUCAAGAUGUCGUAAAAUGACAGAGAAACUACUGUCUCGUUUCGGAAGCAAGAAUGUAACUACAUUUAUGUUCGUGGAAAUACUCCUUUCUCUUUUAACAAGGCCCGUAAUUGGUGAAAAUUUCUGUUAUCGCUUUUAUUGCGAUAGAUUCAGUGAAAUUUAAAUGCAAUUUUUUAUCUGCAAGAAUCAAUGAAUUAUCUUUUAAGUAGUUGCAGAAAAGAAAAAACCAGUAAUCUUUGGAUUUUUUAGCAGUCGCUAAAAUUCUUUCUAAUUAUUCUGAAAAAAUAAAUAGCCUUAGAAACCGAAAGCGGUCAGGAUAUUCAUAUUAGACCGUGUUUUUCCCUUGAACGCUCCGAGCUAUAUGACCUGGAAACUUUAACGAAACCUUUAGAAUUUCCGGGGAGGCAAUUUCACCGAUGGUAUAUCUCGCGUGCUACUGUAUGCAACUGUGCUACCGACACGCGGAGUACGUCGCGGAACAAUGGUAACGCUUAAUGCCGUCUGACUGGUUGUAAUUUGCAUUUCUCUAGUUGGCAUCUCUCUGCCUCUGCGAAUAGGCCUUGCCGAAAUCGCAUCGAUGCAUCGAAGUCCGCUUAAUGUUUCCGUAAUGCUCCGCUGUGCAUUCCUUUGAACCGAUUUCCAACCAAAUUUGCCUAUAUUCGAACUAGAAAUUGCAUGAAUACUGAAACUUAUGUACUGAAAGCUGGCUAAUCUGAUAUAAAUUAGUUAAACAUGGUAGGUAUAUUCAUUAUUUUUUUUUUUAAAUUUAGGAAUAGAUUAGUAUAAAUUAUUAUAUAUAAUAUAAUUUAAUAUAUAAUAUAAAAAUUAUGUAGAAAUUCUUUGUAUGUUAAAUCUUACAUAUUUUGAUAUCUUUAAUUUAAUAAGAAGGAGAAUUUUUAUUAUAUUA